rnacentral:rRNA from 1 species
GGGCGUCCAAUUCUCUUUGAGUAAGGGCGCACCUAUAGCGUACCCGCUGAUACCCGAAAGAUGGUGAACUAUGCCUGGCCAGGACGAAGCCAGGGGAAACCCUGGUGGAGGUCCGCAGCGAUUCUGACGUGCAAAUCGAUCGUCGGAGCUGGGUAUAGGGGCGAAAGACCAAUCGAACCAUCUAGUAGCUGGUUCCCUCUGAAGUUUCCCUCAGGAUAGCUUGCACUCGGUUGAGAUGAGUCUCAUCCGGUAGAGCGAAUGAUUAGAGGCCUUGGGGUCGAAACGACCUCAACCUAUUCUCAAACUCCAAAUAGAUGAGAUUCCCAGCUUGCUUGAAAGUGAAGCUGGGUUUCGGAUCAGAGUGCCAAGUGGGCCAAUUUU